UUGAGAGAGAGAAAGGCAUGUGUGGAUCCCAUGGUGUUCAUGGGUCAUGAGUGUAAUGGCUGAUGUUUAUACAAAUCCAGACAAACAUGUGGUCCUUCACAACAAUGUUAAAAUGCCUAUUCUUGGUUUAGGCACUUCACACAAUGGUGGAUAUAGUCAUUCAGCUGUUGUGUAUGCAUUAAAAGAUUGCGGGUAUAGACAUAUUGAUACAGCCAAGAGAUACGGUUGUGAAGCUUACAUUGCUAAAGCUGUAAAGGAAUCAGAAGUCCCUCGUGAUGAAAUCUUCUUGGCGACAAAGUGUUGGCCCACUGACUAUGGGACUAUUGCUACUCGAAAUGCCUUCAAUGGUUCCUGCGAAAAACUGGGGUCAGAUUACAUAGAUCUUUAUCUCCUGCAUUGGCCUGAUGUGCCUUCAAGUGUGAGUGACAGAAACCGCCUCUUGCAAGAGACAUGGCGGACACUAGAGGUGUUGCUGGAUGAGGAACGUGUGAGAGCCAUUGGGGUCAGCAACUUCCUUGAACGACACCUUGAUGUGAUUCUUGAGGAAUGUUCUGUGGUUCCUCACAUCAACCAGUGUGAGUUCCAUCCAUUCAAUAACCCCAAGCAAUUACGCGAAUAUUGCUCUGAAAGGAAGAUACAAUUUGAGGGUUAUUCCCCUCUAGCAAAAGGUUAUGCUCUUGCGGACUCCACGGUGAAAGCUAUUGCUAAACAUCAUAGACGGAGCCCAUCACAGGUUCUACUAAGGUGGUCUCUGCAGUGCAGGGUUCCUGCUAUACCUAAAUCAACCAAAGUGCAGCGGGUGAUGGAAAAUGCCCAGGGUUACUGUCCGCUAGGUAAUGGACAAAUUCUCGCAGACCCAAAAAUUAAAGAAAUUGCAGAGAGGCAUAACAGAUCCCCAGCUCAGGUUCUCAUUCGUUGGAAUCUCCACAAUAGAGUUGUAUGCAUCCCAAAAUCAACCAGGGAACACAGGGUCAAAGAAAACUCAGAGGUGUUUGAUUUUGUUCUCCACCAAAAAGACAUGGAUAGUCUUUCUAUGUUAAAUGAUGACUUCCAUGUCUCAUGGGACCCUAAUUCAUUGCCGUGAUACUUUCUGUUUACACCCUGGCCCCUCCCCAACACACACAUUUCCUUGCUUUAGAGAUAUUUGACUUUGCUCUCACCGACGAGGACAGUGCAAUACUGGACAACAUGGCUCAGAAGCUGACAAUCAUGGAACGCAGUACAAUACAACACAAAAUUGAUAAUCCUCUACCUGAUGGAUACAAGUUGAAGAUGGU
rnacentral:misc_RNA from 1 species